rnacentral:lncRNA from 1 species
CAAAAGGGUCUUAUGAUUAUGAGAAAAAUCUUUUAAAGUCUUUAUCUGUAACAGGAUUUUUUUUUCUUAAUCCAAACUCUGCUAGCCUGCGUUUUGAUUAAUUUUUAAAAUUUAUUUAAGUCUCACACCUAGAAUAUGCAUUUCCUCUUCUAUAUUUUUAAGUGCUUCAGAUAUUUUUAAACAAUUUCCAUUACUAGAAGGCUCAGACUAGAAUUUGUGAAUUGGAUGCUCAUGCUUCACCUACUGAAAACUUCAGGCCUUAAUUGUGAACCAAAAUAUUUUAAAACAAAGCAAAGGGAAGUCUUUGUUUUUAAAGGAAGGAGUCACACAUAUUCCUCUGGGGAACUAGUCCAGUUGAUAAGACUUUGAUCCCUAUGGCUCAUGCAGCAGCCUUUGGCAGCCAGCUGGACCUUCUGUGGUUGACAAUUUAGAGAAUGCAUUUCCUCCUUGCUAUCUACAGCCAAUACACACUCUGUCUCUGUCUUUCAAAAACUCUUGUACCUGUUUCUCGUUGCUGGUCAUUGGCUAUUUGGCCUCCUUUAUGAGCCAAGGGUGAAAGCUGUGGAAGCAUGUGGGUUUCCAUUCAGUUUGAUCCCUUGCAGGAGAGGACAUCCUUGUCCUUAUGGCCAACAGCUGGCAGCCUGGUUGGUGCUUUCAGAUGAAUUAAGUGUGAUGCCAUAUCUUAACAGAACUUCUGGGGCAGUCAGAUGAAGAAGAGCCAUCUUGUGAAGCUUUCCCUGACCAAUCUGCAGGGCAGGGAGGAGGGUGCAGCCCGCCUGCGUCCAGCCCUGCCGACAGACCACCAGCACCAAGCUGCUCCCACGGACCCACCAGCCGCAGACAAGCAGAGGACACUGAGCCUGGAGCAAAUGGCCACACCACCUCCCUGAUCCAGAAAACCAUGUCCAGCAGCCAGAAGGGUAAGUGAGCAAGUCUCUUUCAGUGGGAUGAAGCUAGAAAUAUUGGUAAUUCAUAUCUUGAACAUUCAUUUGGGUCCAGGAGAAAAAAGCAAGGCACUGCAGCAUGAGCUCAGUUUGUGUAUUCCUAGCAGGGAAAGGCAGAAGGACUCGGCUACUGGCUCAUGGAAAGUUGAAUAAGUCAACCAAUCACCUGGAUCUCCUUAUCUAGCAGCAGUAUCCCUG